rnacentral:rRNA from 1 species
GAUGAACGCUGGCGGCGUGCCUAAUACAUGCAAGUCGAGCGAACAGACGAGGAGCUUGCUCCUCUGACGUUAGCGGCGGACGGGUGAGUAACACGUGGAUAACCUACCUAUCAGACUGGGAUAACUUCGGGAAACCGGAGCUAAUACCGGAUAAUAUAUUGCACCGCAUGGUUCAAUAGUGAAAGACGGUUUUGCUGUCACUUAUAGAUGGAUCCGCGCCGCAUUAGCUAGUUGGUAAGGUAACGGCUUACCAAGGCAACGAUGCGUAGCCGACCUGAGAGAGUGAUCGGCCACACUGGAACUGAGACACGGUCCAGACUCCUACGGGAGGCAGCAGUAGGGAAUCUUCCGCAAUGGGCGAAAGCCUGACGGAGCAACGCCGCGUGAGUGAUGAAGGUCUUCGGAUCGUAAAACUCUGUUAUUAGGGAAGAACAAAUGUGUAAGUAACUAUGCACGUCUUGACGGUACCUAAUCAGAAAGCCACGGCUAACUACGUG